UAAAUAUUUAAUUUAUAGAUAGUUACACUUCAACUACGUGUAAUGGUGCAACGAAAAAAUAUUUAGUAGUGCGUAAGUUGUAACUUAGUGCCCAUUUACGUCAAAACUAGGCUAAGUUGUUACUUACGUACA